rnacentral:snRNA from 1 species
GUGCUUGCUUUGGGAGCACAUACACUAAAAUUGGAAUGAUACAGAGAAGAUUAGCAUGGUCCCUGAACAAGGAUGACACACAAAUUCAUGAACUGUUCCAUAUUUUU